AGUAACGCGUGGAGAACCUGCCGUAUACUGGGGGAUAACACUUAGAAAUAGGUGCUAAUACCGCAUAAGCGCACAGCUUCGCAUGAAGCAGUGUGAAAAACUCCGGUGGUAUACGAUGGAUCCGCGUCUGAUUAGCUGGUUGGCGGGGUAAAGGCCCACCAAGGCGACGAUCAGUAGCCGGCCUGAGAGGGUGAACGGCCACAUUGGGACUGAGACACGGCCCAGACUCCUACGGGAGGCAGCAG
rnacentral:rRNA from 1 species